GGCAGCACGGGAGCAAUCCUGGUGGCGAGUGGCGAACGGGUGAGUAAUACAUCGGAACGUGCCCUGUAGUGGGGGAUAACUAGUCGAAAGACUAGCUAAUACCGCAUACGACCUGAGGGUGAAAGUGGGGGACCGCAAGGCCUCAUGCUAUAGGAGCGGCCGAUGUCUGAUUAGCUAGUUGGUGGGGUAAAGGCCUACCAAGGCGACGAUCAGUAGCUGGUCUGAGAGGACGAUCAGCCACACUGGGACUGAGACACGGCCCAGACUCCUACGGGAGGCAGCAGUGGGGAAUUUUGGACAAUGGGGGCAACCCUGAUCCAGCAAUGCCGCGUGUGUGAAGAAGGCCUUCGGGUUGUAAAGCACUUUUGUCCGGGAAGAAAUCUCACCUGAUAAUACCGGGUGUGGAUGACGGUACCGGAAGAAUAAGGACCGGCUAACUACGUGUCAGCAGCCGCGGUAAUACGUAGGGUCCAAGCGUUAAUCGGAAUUACUGGGCGUAAAGCGUGCGCAGGCGGUUGUGCAAGACCGAUGUGAAAUCCCCGGGCUUCACCUGGGAAUUGCAUUGGUGACUGCGCGGCUAGGGUGUGUCAGAGGGCGGUAGAAUUCCACGUGUAGCAGUGAAAUGCGUAGAGAUGUGGAGGAAUACCUAUGGCGAAUGCAGCCCCCUGGGAUAACACUGACACUCAUGCACGAAAGCGUGUGGAGCAAACAGGAUUAGAUACCCUGGUAGUCCACGCCCUAGAACGAUGUCACUAGUUGUUGGGGAUUCAUUUCCUUAGUAACGUACCUGACGCGUGAAGUUGACCGCCUGCGGAGUACGGUCGCACGAUUAAAAUCACAUGUAUUGACUCGGG
rnacentral:rRNA from 1 species